rnacentral:rRNA from 1 species
UACAGAGGGGGCAAGCGUUGUUCGGAAUUACUGGGCGUAAAGGGCGCGUAGGCGGCCUGUUAAGUCGAACGUGAAAUCCCUGGGCUCAACCCAGGAACUGCGUCCGAUACUGGCAGGCUUGAAUUCGGGAGAGGGAUGCGGAAUUCCAGGUGUAGCGGCGAAAUGCGUAGAUAUCUGGAGGAACACCGGUGGCGAAGGCGGCAUCCUGGACCGAGAUUGACGCUGAGGCGCGAAAGCCAGGGGAGCAAACGGG